AACCAUCCUUAGCCAUGCCUCAAAUUUAUCUUGCGCUCGAACCAAUCCCUUUUUAGCGUGUGUGCUCAGCGGUUCACCCAUACUGCCAAGCAAAUGAAGCGGUGCAACUGUCAAAACAUGCGCGCUUUUUUCGUCUCCCUCGCGGCUCGCCAUGUUUUUUCACCAGUCCAGUUGACUGCCCUUUGGUUCGGUCGUGACAAAAAUUCAUCGUUAAACAACUUUCCCCCAUAAGCCAUCGGUAUCAAGCAGCCCUUACCGUUCUGACCGAAUCGUAUACUCCUGAUUCGGAGUUUCGGCGCCAAUUGGCUGGUGGUUCUCCUUUUGCGGAAACGAUGACGCGGUUUCGGGUUUACGACGCUUGGCAUAUUCUUAGGACAGCAAUGUUCAUAGUAAAGAUAAUUUCGAGGCGAGAUGGACAUUGAUGGACCGUCUGGCAACUGAUAUCA